rnacentral:rRNA from 1 species
UACGGAGGGAGCUAGCGUUGUUCGGAAUUACUGGGCGUAAAGCGCGCGUAGGCGGCUUUGUAAGUUAGAGGUGAAAGCCCGGGGCUCAACCCCGGAACUGCCUUUAAAACUGCAUCGCUUGAAUCCGGGAGAGGUGAGUGGAAUUCCGAGUGUAGAGGUGAAAUUCGUAGAUAUUCGGAAGAACACCAGUGGCGAAGGCGACUCGCUGGACAGGUAUUGACGCUGAGGUGCGAAAGCGUGGGGAGCAAACAGG